rnacentral:tRNA from 2 species
GGGGGAUUAGCUCAGUUGGGAGAGCGCUUGAAUGGCAUUCAAGAGGUCAGGGGUUCGAGUCCCCUAUCCUCCA